rnacentral:rRNA from 1 species
CCCUACGGGGUGCAGCGGUGUCGGGUGUCCCUGGGCUUCAAAUAAUUCACAGGUGCGCAUCUGGUAAUAGGAGAAAGGCUUAUUGACCUUUAGUUCUGAAACCAGUUUGUCAUAAACGGAAUGGACAUCCUCAUAUAGUUUCAAGACACUAUCGGGAGCAUAACCCAGGCACCAGGUGCGCGUGAAGUCGUAGAAAUAACCGCCGAGUGCUUCACAGGGAUAAAUAUCGUAAAUGAUCGUUUGACCCAGUCGGAUCGGAUCGCUGGGGGUACCGGCAGAAUGGGGUACACCGGCAUCCCUGCCGAUGGAAAAGAUGGUGGCUUCCGGGUUUUCAGCGUUAUUUUCCGCUAUCCACAGGUUGAUCUUGUUCUUGACCUCACCGAUGGUCACGGGAGGGC